rnacentral:rRNA from 1 species
GACGAACGCUGGCGGCGUGCUUAACACAUGCCAGUCGAACGGAAAGGCCCUGCUUUUGUGGGGUGCUCGAGUGGCGAACGGGUGAGUAACACGUGAGUAACCUGCCCUUGACUUUGGGAUAACUUCAGGAAACUGGGGCUAAUACCGGAUAGGAGCUCCUGCUGCAUGGUGGGGGUUGGAAAGUUUCGGCGGUUGGGGAUGGACUCGCGGCUUAUCAGCUUGUUGGUGGGGUAGUGGCUUACCAAGGCUUUGACGGGUAGCCGGCCUGAGAGGGUGACCGGCCAGAUCGGGACUAAGAUACGGCCCAGAAUCCUACGGGAGGCAGCAGUGGGGAAUAUUGCACAAUGGGCGGAAGCCUGAUGCAGCAACGCCGCGUGCGGGAUGACGGCCUUCGGGUUGUAAACCGCUUUCGCCUGUGACGAAGCGUGAGUGACGGUAAUGUGUAAAGAAGCACCGGCUAACUACGUG